rnacentral:rRNA from 1 species
AAGCGAAGCCGCGAGGUGGAGCAAAACCCAAAAAAGCAGUCUCAGUUCGGAUUGAAGGCUGAAAUUCGCCUUCAUGAAGCCGGAAUUGCUAGUAAUGGCAGGUCAGCAUACUGCCGUGAAUACGUUCCCGGGCCUUGUACACACCGCCCGUCACACCGUGAGAGUUGGGAAUACCCGAAGCCUGUAAGCUAACUUUUAGAGGCAGCAGUCGAAGGUAGAAUCAAUGAUUGGGGUGAAGUCGUAACAAGGUAAC